GGGGUUGGUUACGGAGCUGGUGCCCGUCGCAGUCUUCAAAACUGUCCGAGAGGCAAGUUUGUCUCUGGUGGGUUCGAUUCCCACACAAUCCCGCCA
rnacentral:tRNA from 1 species